GAUGAACGCUGGCGGCGUGCCUAACACAUGCAAGUCGAACGGAAAGGCCCUGCUUUUGUGGGGUGCUCGAGUGGCGAACGGGUGAGUAACACGCGUGUAUCCUGCCCUUGACUUUGGGAUAACUUCAGGAAACUGGGGCUAAUAUCGGAUAGGAGCUCCUGCAGCACGGUGGGGGUUGGAAAGUUUCGGCGGUUGGGGAUGGACUCGCGGCUUAUCAGCUUGUUGGUCGGGUAGUGGUUUACCAAGGCUUUGACGGGUAGCCGGCCUGAGAGGGUGACCGGGCACAAUGGGCCUAAGGUACGGACCAGACGCGAACGGGAGGCAGCGGGCGGGAGUAUUGCACAGUGAGCCGAAGCCUGUUGCGAAGGCGCUGGGUGCGUAAAGACGUCCUUCGGGUUAUAAACCGCUUUCGCCUGUGACGAAGCGUGAGUGACGGUAAUGGAUAAAGAAGCACCGGCUAACUACGUG
rnacentral:rRNA from 1 species